CAUAUGAUAGAGUGGCGAACGGGUGAGGAACACGUAAGAAACCUGCCCCAAAGAUGAGGAUAACUACUGGAAACGGUAGCUAAUACUGAAUAGGACAUAAAAUCGCAUGAUUUAAUGUUUAAAGGUCCGUUUGGACUGCUUUGGGAUGGUCUUGCGCUGCAUUAGAUAGUUGGUGAGGUAACGGCUCACCAAGUCGACGAUGCAUAGCUGGUCUGAGGGGAUGAACAGCCACACUGGGACUGAGACACGGCCCAGACUCCUACGGGAGGCAGCAGUAGGGAAUUUUCGGCAAUGGGCGAAAGCCUGACCGAGCAAUGCCGCGUGAACGAUGAAGGCCUUCGGGUUGUAAAGUUCUGUUAUCAGGGAAGAACAUACGGAUUAGGAAAUGACUCCGUACUGACGGUACCUGAUCAGAAAGCUCCGGCUAACUACGUGCCAAGCAGCCGCGGUAAUACGUAGGGGAGCAAGCGUUAUCCGGAAUUAUUGGGGCGUAAAGCGUGCGUAAGGCGGUACGUUAGUCAAUCUGAAGCCCCAGCUUAACUGUGGAGGGAAUUGAACUGGCGACCUGAGUACGGCGAGGUAGUGAAUUCAUGUUAGCGGUGAAUCGUACAAUAUGAGGAACCCGGGCGACGUGGCUAUGGACGGAAUGCC
rnacentral:rRNA from 1 species